UUCAAAGGCAAUUUCCAGGACUCCAGGUUCUAUUCCAUCUAAGAAGAGGGAGAGAAAGGUCUUUGUGAAUCAGAACAUUGUUGAAAACCACAGCGAAGACUUCAUGUGGCUUAGUAUAUGUGCAAGUUCAUCCUCUAGGGUCCUGGUCUCCACUGCAUCCUGCCAGGUAGUACCACCAAAAGGGGUCAGGAGGAUUCACCUCUGGGAAUAACAGCACCAGGCACCAUGAGCACCAGCAACACCUUCACCCUGCAGGCUGCACCUGGGAGAACCUGCGGGCAGUGAGAGGACCUGAGGAGCACCCAUUUUGGACAGUGGUCACAGCUGACGGACCCUCCUGCCUGGCUCCUCCAGGCACUGCUCACAAUAUUUUUCCCAGUCCAGAAACCCACCCAGCACUCCACCUGCGAUGAAGAGUGGCAGAUCUUCACAGCUGAGGGCAGAGGAGCACGCACAGCUGCUCACCAGAGUCUGCUCAGCCCUCCCACCACCCACCACCUCCACUGACACCAGCCCAGCUGUGCAGCCAUUCUGGACACCUCUGGGGAGGG